rnacentral:rRNA from 1 species
GUGCCAGCCGCCGCGGUAAUACGUAGGUGGCGAGCGUUACUCGGAAUUACUAGGCGUAAAGCGUAUGUAGGUGGUUAGAUAAGUCUAUGGUGAAAUUUCCUGGCUUAACUGGGAAGGGACAUAGAUACUAUCUGGCUUGAGUGUGGGAGGGGGAGACGGAAUUCCUGGUGUAGCGGUGAAAUGCGUAGAUAUCAGGAGGAACACCGAUGGCGAAAGCAGUCUCCUGGCCCAAUACUGACACUGAGGUACGAAAGCUAGGGUAGCAAACAGG